AGAUCUUUACUGCAUGGACGAGAGCAGGCUGGAGUCAUGGAUCAGGGAGAGAUGGAAGAAGAUUUGACAACCAUUCAUGGUCACCGUGACAGCCCUUUCAAUUCUUCAGGAAAUGGACCAGAGCUCUUCUGACUCUACAGUGAUCCUUGAACUAAGUUCCGUCCCUGAAAAGGAGGACAUAAGUGUUCCUGAACUCAAGAGAGCAGAAAGUGUAUUUGUAAGUUCACAUACAAUCCAAUGCACAACUUGGUCUGACAAUAACAGUAGUGGGGGAAAUUGUCUUGGUUUUAACCUGUUAAGUCCGACGGACCUGGUACCGGUUCCACAGCACUAAGUGGUCGCAGCUAUUGUAAAUUUGCGCUUGUUUAAAACUCUAGGUUAAUCACAGCCUCAUUGAACUUUAAGACCCAACAUCUUAAACUCUAGACCAA